GAUGAACGCUGGCGGCGUGCCUAAUACAUGCAAGUCGAGCGAACAGACGAGGAGCUUGCUCCUCUGACGUUAGCGGCGGACGGGUGAGUAACACGUGGAUAACCUACCUAUAAGACUGGGAUAACUUCGGGAAACCGGAGCUAAUACCGGAUAAUAUAUUGAACCGCAUGGUUCAAUAGUGAAAGACGGUUUUGCUGUCACUUAUAGAUGGAUCCGCGCCGCAUUAGCUAGUUGGUAAGGUAACGGCUUACCAAGGCAACGAUGCGUAGCCGACCUGAGAGGGGGAUCGGCCACACUGAAACUGAGACACGGUCCAGACUCCUAGGGGAGGCAGCAGUAGGGAAUCUUCCGCAAGGGGCGAAAGCUUGACGGAGCAACGCCGCGUGAGUGAUGAAGGUCUGCGGAUCGUAAAACUCUGUUAUUAGGGAAGAACAAAUGUGUAAGUAACUAUGCACGUCUGGACGGUACCUAAUCAGAAAGCCACGGCUAACUACGU
rnacentral:rRNA from 1 species